CUACGGGGGGCAGCAGUGGGGAAUAUUGGACAAUGAGGGCAACCCUGAUCCAGCAAUGCCAUGUGUGCGAAGAAGGCCUUCGGGUUGUAAAGCACUUUAGUGAGGGAGGAAGGUUGUAGCGCUAAUAUCGCUAUAAAUUGACAGUACCUCAAGAAUAAGCACCGGCAAACUCUGUGCCAGCAGCCGCGGUAAUACAGAGGGUGCAAGCGUUAAUCGGAAUUAUUGGGCGUAAAGGGCUUGUAGGUGGUUGAUUAAGUUAGAUGUGAAAACCCUGGGCUCAACCUGGGACGUGCAUUUAAUACUGGUCGACUAGAAUAGAGCAGAGGAGAGGGGAAUUCCUGGUGUAGCAGUGAAAUGCGUAGAGAUCAGGAGGAACAUCGGUGGCGAAGGCGCCUCUCUGGGUUCAUAUUGACACUGAAAAGCGAAGGCGUGGGGAUCAAACAGGAUUAGAUACCCCAGUAGUC
rnacentral:rRNA from 1 species